rnacentral:rRNA from 1 species
GACGAACGCUGGCGGCGUGCCUAAUACAUGCAAGUCGAACGCUUCUUUUCCCACCGGAGCUUGCUCCACCGGGAAAAGAGGAGUGGCGAACGGGUGAGUAACACGUGGGUAACCUGCCCAUCAGAAGGGGAUAACACUUGGAAACAGGUGCUAAUACCGUAUAACAAUCGAAACCGCAUGGUUUCGUUUUGAAAGGCGCUUUACGGUGCCGCUGAUGGAUGGACCCGCGGUGCAUUAGCUAGUUGGUGAGGUAACGGCUCACCAAGGCCACGAUGGAUAGCCGACCCGAGAGGGAGAUCGGCCACAUUGGGACUGAGACACGGCCCAAACUCCUACGGGAGGCAGCAGUAGGGAAUCUUCGGCAAUGGAGGAAAGUCUGACCGAGCAACGCCGCGUGAGUGAAGAAGGUUUUCGGAUCGUAAAACUCUGUUGUUAGAGAAGAACAAGGGUGAGAGUAACUGUUCACCCCUUGACGGUAUCUAACCAGAAAGCCACGGCUAGCUACGUGCCAGCAGCCGCGGUAA